rnacentral:rRNA from 1 species
GACGAACGCUGGCGGCGUGCUUAACACAUGCAAGUCGAACGGAAAGGCCCUGCUUUUGUGGGGUGCUCGAGUGGCGAACGGGUGAGUAACACGUGAGUAACCUGCCCUUGACUUUGGGAUAACUUCAGGAAACUGGGGCUAAUACCGGAUAGGAGCUCCUGCUGCAUGGUGGGGGUUGGAACGUUUCGGCGGUUGGGGAUGGACUCGCGGCUUACAAGCUUGUUGGUGGGGUAGUGGCUUACCAAGGCUUUGACGGGUAGCCGGCCUGAGAGGGUGACCGGCCACAUUGGGACUGAGAUACGGCCCAGACUCCUACGGGAGGCAGCAGUGGGGAAUAUUGCACAAUGGGCGGAAGCCUGAUGCAGCAACGCCGCGUGCGGGAUGACGGCCUUCGGGUUGUAAACCGCUUUCGCCUGUGACGAAGCGUGAGUGACGGUAAUGGGUAAAGAAGCACCGGCUAACUACGUG